CGCUGCACCUCUGGGGACCUUCCGCGCCCCAAGUCGGACCAGCAACCCUUUCCCGCCAGCUGAGAGGACCGCCGGGGGAACUGUGGACUCACGUACAAAACCUUUGGUCGCCGAUGCCAUCUUGCGCCCAUUGCGUCCGCCUUACGGGCCCCACGCCGCUGCUAGGUCUGCGGUCUCACGCGUACUGGGCGCUGGAGGAAGCUCCCGGGAGUACGGAACUUUCGCGGUGAUACGCCUCUCUUCUCCGGAAGUGGAACGAGGAGGGAAGGCGCUUCUGGUGUCCUUGCCUCGUUCUGACCGGUGAGGCCGGGAGAAGAACGCCGACCCUUCUGGGGUCUGAAACAGCGUACUCAGCCACCAAAGCGCAUUUCUCUAAACUAUCAAGGAAUAAGAAGAAAUAAUUUAAAGGAGAUUCUGGGUGUCAUCUAAGAAAAAGAAGCCCACAUCUUAAGACCAGAACCUAUGAAAAACUAAGCGUACAUGGCAACACUCCCUUGUUCUCUCAGGCUUCAGCAGAUGAAACAGUCCAUCCUCGCCACCUGGUGGUGAAAAUGAAUAAUGCAUUGGAAACAUUGGUUCUCAGCUUAGAAAAGGGAAAGUGGAAUUUCUGCACACAGCUUUCAUUCAUUCUGGAUAGUCCUACUAUGUUUCAGGGUAAUCCAGGAGCCUCCAAACCCAGCUGCAGCAGACACAGAAAAAGAGCUCAUCUUCCAUUCUCCACCUGGCAGAACCAUCUGCUGUGAUAGUGUCUGAGAGGCUGAGUGGGUGCUGAUCUUCCAUCCCUGCCCUGAAGAACUAGGUGGGGCCCAAAUUCCCCUGCCCUUGGAGGGCCAGGAGGGUGAGUGCAGAGCUGAGCCUCCACUCCACUCAGCAUCCAUGGGGCUCAGCAACAUGAUUCCAGGUGGGAAUAGUAAGCACACCCACUUUCCUGCCACCCGUGUGGUCAGUGAGGACCUGCGUGAGCUGGAAUCUCUACACCCACCUGACAGCAAUGAGUCUGAAGGUGGAAGUGCAAAUCAGGGCCAGUCAGCAGUCCUGCCCACCCGCUCUUCUGUCCCCACUGAGCUGAGUUUCCAACCCUAGCUCUAAUUAAAUUGGACCCAGGAAGAUAAUCACAGCUCCUUUGCCAUUAUCAGGUUUUCAUAUGGGGUUUCAAUUGUUUAAGGCCAUGAUCUUAUUUUUUUUUUAAUUAAAUUCAGUUUUAUUGAGAUGUAUUCACAUAUCAUAGUCAUCCAUGGUGUACAAUAAACUGUUCACAUACCAUCCUGUAGUUAUGCAUUCAUCACC